rnacentral:rRNA from 1 species
ACCUGCUCACUGAAUAUUUUGAAGAGCCGCGGUAUUUUGACCGUGCAAAGGUAGCAUAAUCAUUAGUCUCUUAAUUAGGGGCUGGAAUGAAUGGUUUGACGAGAAAUCUACUGUCUCUUAAUAAAUUUUAUAAUUUAACUUUUGAGUUAAAAGGCUUAAAUUUUUCUUUAGGACGAGAAGACCCUAUAGAGCUUAACAUUUAUAUUUAUAUAUAUUAUUUGGUUUAGUUUUUUUAUAUUAAAUGAUAAUGUUUUGUUGGGGUGACAUAAAGAAUAUAUAAACUCUUUAUUAUUAAUUCAUUAAUUUAUGUAUUUAUUGAUCCAUAAUUUAUGAUCAUAAGAUUAAGUUACCUUAGGGAUAACAGCGUAAUUAUUUUUUAGAGCUCAUAUCAACAAAAUAGAUUGCGACCUCGAUGUUGGAUUAAGAAAAAUUUUAGGGUGUAGUAGCUCAAUAAUUAGGUCUGUUCGACCUUUAAAUUCUU